rnacentral:rRNA from 1 species
AUUGAACGCUGGCGGCAGGCAUAACACAUGCAAGUCGAGCGGCAGCACGGGAGCAAUCCUGGUGGCGAGUGGCGAACGGGUGAGUAAUAUAUCGGAACGUGCCCAGUAAUGGGGGAUAGCCCGGCGAAAGCCGGAUUAAUACCGCAGACGACCUACGGGUGAAAGCAGGGGAUCGCAAGACCUUGCGUUAUUUGAGCGGCCGAUAUCAGAUGAGAUUGUUGGUGGGGUAAAAGCCUACUAAGGCAACGAUCUGUAGCUGGUCUGAGAGGACGACCAGCCACACUGGGACUGAGAAUCGGCCCAGACUCCUACGGGAGGAAGCAGUGGGGAAUUUUGGACAAUGGGGGCAAGCCUAAUCCAGCCAUGCCGCGUGCGGGAAGAAGGCCUUCGGGUUGUAAACCGCUUUUGUCAGGGAAGAAACGGCUCUUGCUAAUAUCGAGAGCUAAUGACGGUACCUGAAGAAUAAGCACCGGCUACCUACGUGCCAGCAGCCGCGGUAAUAC